UACGAAGGGGGCGAGCGUUAUUCGGAAUCACUGGGCGUAAAGCGUGCGUAGGCUGUUUUGUAAGUUGGGAGUGAAAGCCCAGGGCUCAACCCUGGAAUUGCUUUCAAAACUACAAGACUUGAAUCUCGGAGAGGAUAGCGGAAUUGUCAGUGUAGCAGUGAAAUGCGUAGAUAUUGACAGGAACACCAGUGGCGUAAGCGGCUAUCUGGACGAGUAUUGACGCUGAGGCACGAAAGCGUGGGGAUCAAACAGG
rnacentral:rRNA from 1 species